UGGGGAAUUUUGGACAAUGGGCGAAAGCCUGAUCCAGCAAUGCCGCGUGUGUGAAAGCAGCUUCGGGUUGUAAAGCACUUUUGUCCGGAAAGAAAUCCUUGGCUCUAAUACAGUCGGGGGAUGACGGUACCGGAAGAAUAAGCACCGGCUAACUACGUGCCAGCAGCCGCGGUAAUACGUAGGGUGCAAGCGUUAAUCGGAAUUACUGGGCGUAAAGCGUGCGCAGGCGGUUUGCUAAGACCGAUGUGAAAUCCCCGGGCUCAACCUGGGAACUGCAUUGGUGACUGGCAGGCUAGAGUAUGGCAGAGGGGGGUAGAAUUCCACGUGUAGCAGUGAAAUGCGUAGAGAUGUGGAGGAAUACCGAUGGCGAAGGCAGCCCCCUGGGCCAAUACUGACGCUCAUGCACGAAAGCGUGGGGAGCAAACAGGAUUAGAUACCCUGGUAGUCCACGCCCUAAACGAUGUCAACUAGUUGUUGGGGAUUCAUUUCCUUAGUAACGUAGCUAACGCGUGAAGUUGACCGCCUGGGGAGUAUCGGUCGCAAGAUU
rnacentral:rRNA from 1 species